CACACACACGCACACACACACACACACACACGCACACACACGCACACGCUAUAUAAAUACACAUAAAGGCGAUCUAAUGGUUAAUCUACCAUAUAUAGAUUUAAAUGGAAUAUAAUACCAUUAAAAUGACUACAAAGAGAGAGAGAGAGAGAGUAGUAGUAGUAGUAGUAGUAGUAGUAGUAGUAGUAGUAGUAGUAGUAGUAGUAGUAGUAGUAGUAGCAGCAGA